rnacentral:rRNA from 1 species
UACGAGAGGCCCAAACGUUAUUCGGAAUUACUGAGCUUAAAGAGUUCGUAGGCGGCAUUGCAAGUAGGGUGUGAAAGCCCUCGGCUCAACCGAGGAAUUGCGCUCUAAACUGCAGUGCUUGAGGAAGCUAGAGGUGAGCAGAACAGAUGGUGGAGCGGUGAAAUGCGUUGAUAUCAUCUGGAAUACCGGAGGCGAAGGCGGCCUUCUGGACAGUGACUGACGCUGAGACGCGAAAGCGUGGGGAGCAAACAGG